rnacentral:rRNA from 1 species
AAGCGGAGGAAAAGAAACCAACAGGGAUUGCCCCAGUAACGGCGAGUGAAGCGGCAAAAGCUCAAAUUUGAAAUCCUGCGGGAAUUGUAAUUUGAAGGUUUCGUGGUCUGAGUCGGCCGCGCCCAAGUCCAUUGGAACAUGGCGCCUGGGAGGGUGAGAGCCCCGUAUGGCGCACGCCGACUCUUUGUACACCGCGGCUCCGACGAGUCGAGUUGUUUGGGAAUGCAGCUCUAAGUGGGUGGUAAAUUCCAUCUAAAGCUAAAUAUUGGCGAGAGACCGAUAGCGAACAAGUACAGUGAUGGAAAGAUGAAAAGCACUUUGAAAAGAGAGUGAAACAGCACGUGAAAUUGUUGAAAGGGAAGGGCUUGCAAGCAGACACGGUUUUACCGGGCCAGCGUCGAAAAGGGGGGAGGAACAAGAACUCGAGAAUGUGGCGCGCACCUUCGGGCGCGCGUGUUAUAGCUCGUGUUGACGCCUCCAUCCCUUUUCGAGGCCUGCGAUUCUAGGACGCUGGCGUAAUGGUUGCAAGCCGCCCGUCUUGAACCACGGACCA